rnacentral:tRNA from 1 species
CGCCGUCGUGGCGGAGCAGGACCGUCGUGUCCUGGUCCGCCACGAGGCGCGCGGACGUGAGCGCGUGCUGGUCCCAGGCCAGGUCGACGCCCA